GUAGGUGGCAAGCGUUAUCCGGAAUUAUUGGGCGUAAAGCGCGCGCAGGCGGUUUCUUAAGUCUGAUGUGAAAGCCCACGGCUCAACCGUGGAGGGUCAUUGGAAACUGGGGAACUUGAGUGCAGAAGAGAAAAGCGGAAUUCCACGUGUAGCGGUGAAAUGCGUAGAGAUGUGGAGGAACACCAGUGGCGAAGGCGGCUUUUUGGUCUGUAACUGACGCUGAGGCGCGAAAGCGUGGGGAGCAAACAGGGAUUAGAUACCCUGGUAGUCCACGCCGUAAACGAUGAGUGCUAAGUGUUAGAGGGUUUCCGCCCCUUUAGUGCUGCAGCUAACGCAUUAAGCACUCCGCCCUGGGAGUACGGUCGCAAGACUG
rnacentral:rRNA from 1 species